rnacentral:rRNA from 1 species
UUUAGACUUAAGAGCUAUUCAAAUAAGGCACAGCUUAUUUGAAAUAGGACACAACCUACAACAUAGGGUAAAUGAGAGUGACCUAAAUAAAGUGGGCCUAAAAGCAGCCACCUUCAGAAAAGCGUUAAAGCUUAACUACCUUCACUCAUAAUGCCUAAAAUCUCCACUAACCCUUCAUUACUACUGAACAAUUUUAUACUCAUAUAAAAGCUAUCAUGCUAGAACUAGUAACAAGAAACUGCUUUUCUCCUAAAUGUAAACAUAAACCAAAAUAGACCAUCUAUUGGUUAUUAACGUAAAUGCUAAACUGUAGCAACACUCACUAGAAAAUCCUAUAAACCCCCAACGUUAACCUUACACCAGAACAUUACAGGAAAGAUUAAAAGAAAAAGAAGGAACUCGGCAAAUUUUAGCCUCGCCUGUUUACCAAAAACAUCGCCUCUUGACAAACAUAAGAGGUCCAGCCUGCCCAGUGACAAAGUUCAACGGCCGCGGUACCCUAACCGUGCAAAGGUAGCACAAUCACUUGUUCUUUAAAUGAGGACUCGUAUCAACGGCACUACGAGGGCUAUACUGUCUCCUUUUUCUAAUCAGUGAAACUGAUCUCCCCGUGAAGAAGCGGGGAUUGUAAUAUAAGACGAGAAGACCCCAUGGAGCUUUAAACUCACCAUGUACCCCUGUGCUCCCAUACCCCCAGACACAACAGACCUACAUGUUAGUUUUAGGUUGGGGUGACCACGGAGUAUAACUUAACCUCCAUAGCAAAUGGGCUAAUACCCUUAUCCACGAGACACAACUCUAAGAAUUACUAAACUAAUGCUUACGACCCGAUAUUCGAUCCAUGAACCAAGUUACCCUGGGGAUAACAGCGCAAUCUACUUCAAGAGCCCAUAUCGACAAGUAGGUUUACGACCUCGAUGUUGGAUCAGGGUAUCCCGGUGGUGCAGCCG